rnacentral:rRNA from 1 species
AAAUUUCUGCCCUAUCAACUUUCGAUGGUAAGGUAUUGGCUUACCAUGGUUUCAACGGGUAACGGGGAAUUAGGGUUCGAUUCCGGAGAGGGAGCCUGAGAAACGGCUACCACAUCCAAGGAAGGCAGCAGGCGCGCAAAUUACCCAAUCCCGACACGGGGAGGUAGUGACAAUAAAUACUGAUACAGGGCUCUUUUGGGUCUUGUAAUCGGAAUGAGUACAAUUUAAACCCCUUAACGAGGAACAAUUGGAGGGCAAGUCUGGUGCCAGCAGCCGCGGUAAUUCCAGCUCCAAUAGCGUAUAUUAAAGUUGUUGCAGUUAAAAAGCUCGUAGUUGAACCUUGGGCCUGGCUGGCCGGUCCGCCUCACCGCGUGUACUGGUCCGGCCGGGCCUUUCCUUCUGGAGAACCCCAUGCCCUUCACUGGGUGUGUGGGCGAACCAGGACUUUUACUGUGAACAAAUUAGAGUGUUCAAAGCAGGCCUUUGCUCGAAUACAUUAGCAUGGAAUAAUAGAAUAGGACGUGCGGUCCUAUUUUGUUGGUUUCUAGGACCGCCGUAAUGAUUAAUAGGGAUAGUCGGGGGCAUCAGUAUUCAAUUGUCAGAGGUGAAAUUCUUGGAUUUAUUGAAGACUAACUACUGCGAAAGCAUUUGCCAAGGAUGUUUUCAUUAAUCAGUGAACGAAAGUUAGGGGAUCGAAGACGAUCAGAUACCGUCGUAGUCUUAACCGUAAACUAUGCCGACUAGGGAUCGGGCGAUGUUUCUAUCUUGACUCGCUCGGCACCUUACGAGAAAUCAAAGUUUUUGGG